ACGCAGCUGCUGCUUAACAUUUGCAGAUCUGUCUGGCUUUUUAUUUGAAAUGAAGCGGACGGCGCUGCACGCCAGGGUUCCUCUUUACUCGUUCCUUUCUUGUGAUGUUUCUGACCCUGACUCCCUAGUCUGUCGCAGUUAUAAUCGACUUUUAUUACGUUAGGCAAACGUAUGCUAAAAUUACAUUCCUUAAACUGAGGGGACGCGGAGGCACGUUUUUAGGAACAGCGGGUUGAAACCUGGUUCCAGGAGACCUAGUUUGAGGCAACCUUGCUGUAUGAAACCCCAAGUCUACCUUGGUACCAUGCAGUGGCCUGAAACCCAGGCUCCCGAGACCAAGUUCCAAGUCACAAAGUGGCUUCGUGUUCUCUGAGUUUUACUCAAAUGAUUCAUGUUCAGGAAACGGGGUGCACACCAGACGCAUCUGCUAAAUGUUCAGAUUUAGAUUUUUUUAGUUGGUUUUUUAAAUUAUUUCUUUUACCUUGGGCGCCACUUGCUUCACUGCAGUUGUAUUUUAGUUGCUACCACAAAGCUGUUAGCCUGCCAUAUUGUAUAGAGUUAUUUUCAAUUUCAAACCCAAUACAAAUUACACGAGUAUUCCUAUUUAUUAACUUAGUAAGAUACGUGGCAAAAUAGCCAGCGUUCAGGUCUGCAUCAUGAGUUUGGGGUGUAAACCUAUCAAUUGUUAAUUUAGGCAAGAUACAUCCAUUAGUUACAUUACAUUUUAUUGCAAUACUGUUUUACAAGCUCUACUGUAGCAUGUUCUGGAAGUCUCUGUUGUAAACACAAGUUUAUAUGUGCAUCACUAAACCAGUGGUGUUCCAAUUACGUAUUGGGGAAUGUCAAGAAUGUAAAAAAGCGAUAGCUCAUUACUAUGAGAUGUAAGACUGUUGGGAUUUGACAGCAACGAGAAGUCCAUGCAAUUAAAGCUAGUUUAUUGGCACUAUUCAUCUAGGAAUAUUGCGAUUCUGCUGCCGUUCAGGUAUUGGUAGCAGACAACACAAGCACAGGCCCAGGAAAUAAAAUGCUAAUACACACAGAUCAUGCCAUUGUGUAGCAGUACUUUUGUAAAGGCUACUGUGGGCUGUAUUAGUAGCUAAGAUACACCAUAGACGAACAGCUCAAAGGUCGGCCUGAUACAGUAAAACCUGAAAUUGAACUAACUGCUAUGCAGGAGGAAUUUUAAUUCCUCUGUGGAUCAGUGUAAUGGGAGAUACAGCCCACAUUUUAUAGUGAAUGGAUUUCUAAUGUAUAAAAAUGCAAAAUGUAUGUUAUAAACAUGAGUAGCCCCUUUCACACUGGCAUGCGCUACCCGGGUCGGAACCUACCUGGGUCAGGGCCUGGUGUCAUGCGGGUCGACUACGCAAUUUCACACUGCUUUUGAUAAAGUAGGGUUGACCUGGGUGACAGACACAAGUAAACAAUGCGUGUAUCGAUGCCCUGGAAGCAGCUUGUUACAGACGCUUCCAUUGAAAGCUUGAUUGGAGCAAAUGUUUCUACAUCCCUGCUGCAUUCUGGCUCAUGCUGUGUCUCAAUCAGCAAAAAUAUGGCUAAACAGAAUAAACAAAAACGUUCCCUGUGGAAGUUAAACCUUCACAUAGGCAUGGCUCUUUGUUAUUUCAUCCGCCAUCUUGCUCAACCCUGGUCAAAGCGUGUUGACCAACAUCCUGAGGUGGGUCGCUGAGACCCGGGUAUGACCCAGGUACGUGGUUUCACACUAUGCGGGAUUGUGACCCGGGUAGCCAGGACCCGGGUAGGAGUGCCAGUUUGAAAGGGGCUAGUAACUGUAUGGUAGCACACAUUAAUGAUAUAAUUUCAACUUUCCAUUUAGACCCCCCACUCAGUUAAAGUAUUAUUUUCCACUCUCUAUUUAGGCCUACAUGUUUGUUGAAUAAAGUCACACUUUUUAAAACACCCAAUAACAAAAUAAUUCUGUUCCUUGAACUUGAAAUAAAAGCGUUAAUUGUAUUGUAUAAGAUCUUAAGUUCUCAUAAAUGUGAUCAUAGCAAGCCACCAUCUUCAGCAGUUCUUAGAUGUCAUACCACAUCCUUCUCCAUGUUUGUAUGGAUUGUAGUCUGUUAAAAAAAAAAAAAAAAAAAAAAAAAAAAAAAACACCCCUGUGAAGAAAUACCUCAGAACUGAGAUCACUACCCUCAGCACUUUGUACUGGAAUUAACACAGGUAUUUUUUUGGCCUCCAAAUACAUGGAAAACUGUAUAUUUAUUUCAUACAUGCAUCUCUGUGUUCUCUCAAGAUUUCAUGUCAGGGAAGCAGAAUGAGCCUGUUGUCUAACAGCUGUAAACAGUGUAGCUAAAGUAAGAAAAUGGAAGUGUGAUCAUUCACUAUGGUAUGAUACUGAAACACUAUUGAUGCACAACAUUUAAUAAAGAGCUUUUUUAUAUUUAUAAAAUUACUAUAGAUUUACUGAAGUUUCAAGGAAACGUGAAAUUAAAUUAGCUGCCAACUAGUAUCUUCAGCUAUUUGGCUUCUAUAACAGGCUACUUGUGAUAUGUAUAUUAAUCGUUGACCUUGUCUUAAAUAUCUGUCGCUUAUUUGCUGAUACCUUAAAUAGAAGUCAGAGCCAGCGGUGAGAUGCAGUCAGUAUUGAAUGGGAGGCUGGUGGUUUGAGUCAUGCUGGUGAGUUAUGACGUGGCGCUCUGAGCUGCAGAGACAUCUAAAACUCUUGAGGUGAGCACUGCGUAAGAAAUGGGCCGAAUUGUUGCUGUGGAGAGCACUUUUUUCAAAUCUGCAAGCCCUCCUGAAAGGGAAGUGUUUUUUUUUUAUUUUUUUUUCUGGAAGGUUGAUGAGGAGGAAGGGGAAGGCUCAAUGAAAGCCUUUUUAUCUGCUGAUUACGAAGCAUACGGCAGACCUGUUCACUGACUGGCAUCCCGGGGUCCUUCUGGAACCUGUACCGUCCUAUUGCCUCAAGAGAUUGUUCAUUUCCAAUGAACUGGUUAUAUACAAAACACUUCUGUAAUAUAUAUUUCAUUGUGGCUGUGCUCAGUUAUAAAACUGAGGACUGAGUUGCAGAUUUGUGGCAUUUGAUGAAGAUCCCCCCACCAGUCUUUGAAGAUAUUUUACCCAUUUAAACCGCAUGCAAAUCUCCAGCACUUAUAAAUAUUGCUCUUUAAAUCUCCCUCGGAAAACCACCAUCCCCGGAAUAAUUAAUCUAAUCUUACAUCCAACAGUGCUACAGUGAAUAUAAAUAAUGGGUAAAUACAGUAAAUACUGCAUGCUAAAAUGAUUGUAGUUAACAAAAUAACUGCAUGAGUCUUACUUGUUAUGCAUUGGCUUCUUUCCUGUUGUUAACCAACCAGUUGCUUUGCUUAUUGACUGACCUGCUUUCAGCCAGUUAUACCCCUUCUCCACUGGCACAUCCGACACGUGAGGGUUCGAUAUGUUACGGGUACGAGUGGUUCUCCACUGGCUAUUUGUUGAGCCGAGCGAGAACCAAACUGUGAAACUCCGGCCUCAUAAGACAUCUGAAUCUGGCUUGGAGCCUUGCGGGGGUUUAAGGAUUUUUGUCAUUAUGUUGCAUCAGUCAGUACACGCCAGAAAGUCAAACAUGACGGGCAGCGAUUACAAAAUAUAGCGAUUUACAGGUGUACCGUUGAUACAGUAGAAGAGACAUUACGUGCUUUGACCUAGAAGUGCAAGUGUAACAGAUUUCCUGAGAAUAAGGCAUAGAAACUGACAACUUUCUUUAACCCAAAGUACUAACCGGUACCAUUUAAAUACAGUACAUAUUUACUAUACAUUUGCGUAGUUAAUGGAAAUGCAAAAGGGUACGAUUUUAUAGAAUUGUUUGCAACUGUGCAGUUACUUUCUGAGGCACAGUUAGCACACAGUCCCUCCUUCUUUCCAUCGGAGACUGCAUUAUAGUUUACUCUCAAAGAGAUUCCUGCUCCCUUGUACAGUACAGUGUAUCCGACUGUGGUGGGACCAGAGUAAGGGUGGAUAUGCAAAAACUCCGAUAAGUGAAUCCUGUUAAGUACCAUUAUACACAGCUGUAACAAUUAUUAUAUUUCACACAAUUAUUUGGGAGCUCCUCUAAAUCCCUUGUUUUGCAAGAUACAGGGUAUUAAUGCUGAUGACAGUGUAGCCGUGUGGGUGCCCGCAUUCACUGCUGAGUAACAGGCAGGAGAUCGAGACAGGUUGAAAUUGAUAUGCCACGCAGACGAACAGGAUUUAUUUACGUAUAAACAGCCCAGUUGGCUUUGGUUUUGCAGCAGCCCUGAAGUGUAUAAAUGGUAAUUCAUUAAUUACAAUACACGGUUAGAAACUAGCAAUAUUGUGCUACUAGUCCAAAGGACUAGUACCUUUUGAAACUUGCUAGUCCCUUAUGUGAAGUGCCUAAGUUGGAAUCGUCAACAAGCCUAAAAACAAGCCUAUUUUUUAGCCUACGCCUAAAAAUAGGCUUAGGCUAAAAAAUAAACAGCUCUCCAGCUAUUUAAAAAAAUGCUAGCUGGCUAUGAAUUACUAGCUACAAUAAUGAAUGUACUCAUGUACACAUGGGUCAUCACUAAAGUCCCAAUUUAAAGACCGUACAUUUCACUGUAGCCCUCGGGAUGAAGUUAUUACCUAGGUGGCCUUUUUUUUGGUGUGUUUGUUUAAUUAACAGUGGGAGAAAACCGCUUCAUCAGGUACAGUAGAAUCUGCCAGAACUGACGGGUCUGUAUCUGCUAGAUUUAGAUACUAAUGAGAGCAUAACAAAUACCAAAGAAACAAGGGAAAUGCAGAUCUUUUCAAGAAAGCUGGGAGAUUUUGUAUAAAUGUAUUUUAUAUUUUUAAACUCUGCAAUAACAGUUCUGCUUGUGAAGCAUCCACACUAUAAUUUGACAGAACAGGUGCUUGAGGCCCAGAAUCACCGCCUGUGCACUUAUUAGUGAUUUAAAGCCUGGUUUUUAUGCUGACAAUAAUGAAUACAACACCAAGCUUCAUAAGUCCCAAGCUUUAAACGUGUUACUGUUUAUAAGUAAGAACUUAUCUUUAUUUUGAAUAUAUUGUUAUGUUUUAAGCAACGUACUACGAUAAUGUUCACUAUGGUAAUUGUUUGUUUGUUUAUUAGUUUUAAAAUGUUUAGUAAAACGUGACCUAUUGUUUGACCUUGUUCGUACAACUGGCCCCUUUUGCUAAUUACCUCUUCAGUCAGGGUCGUAACCCGAUAUAAAUCUCGUAAAAUGACUUUACACUUACUUCAAAAGGUGCAACGUGUUCCAGUAAAUUCAAACGAUAACUUCGCAUCCCGCGCAGAGGGAGAACACCAACGUAAAACGUCAUUAAGUGGGGUUGGCAUUGCAGGGGAGAUGAAGGGAGGUUUCAGUUCAGAGUGACUGUUUUCUAAGCAUUAUUUGUGAUUGCUUAUUCACCACUGCUACGCCCUGUUAGAAAAUUAACUUCUCUGCAUUUUUUUAACACAAGACUAAACGUGAGCGUAUAUGUGUACAUUUGUUUAAGUACUCGCCCAGAGGACUAAUGAGACACAGACAUCAACUAGUCCUCAUCAGAUUUAAUUCGCCUCAGGCAUGUGGGAGUUUCUAACCCUGCAAUAAAGAAUCACGAUUUACAAUAUACAUUUACACAAAAAACCCUCUUCAUGCGCAAGGCUCCUGCCCUACUACACUGCUGUAUACACUUACAUUAGUGUUGGUAAUUUUACUGUGACAAAGUGGUUUGCAGUGCGCAGGAAUGAUUUGAAACAACAGAGUUCAUGGUUAAACAGCUCUUUAUUGGCUAAUCAAUAAUAAAUGGCUCUACACACCAAUGUGUAUCGCUCAGUUAAACCAAGGGGUUCAGUCCCGAAAUAAGACACUAAACAAGACACACACAAAUACAGACACGAUCACUUAAUCCAGUAGUGAGUGCUCUUUGUGCAGGUGGUGCAAUACAAGUUUAUAGUGAACAAUGGUGCAGUGCAGUCUCGGUUUAAUACUGGCUUUGUAGCGGCAGCUCCCAGAUAGAUUAGCCAUCUAUAAUGACAAACAAAGUUAAUUUGUUAAUACAACAAAACAACACAAAACACUUGCUGUUCUUUUUCUCUUCACUCCUUUACAGGUCCUUUCGUAACCAUAACAAAGGAACAGAUUGCAUCGUCACAUCCCCUCAAAUACCUUUAGUCACGCCACCCUCCGAUAGCUAGUUCAAUCACGUCUCCUCCAAUCCAUGACUGACAUCGCUUACCGUACUAGGGCGAUGACUUCUGGUAUUGUGACUGCCCCCUUCCUGGAUGGCCGGCUUCUGACUGACCCUAGAAUGAACUGCCGAACCAUUCAGUACAAGGCACGCUGUUCCUGUUAUACUGCGCCCUCACAGGUCGGGAGGGAGAUUGUUGGCUAGCAGAGAUGCCAUGUGCUACGAUUUUUUGAAAAAAAAUAUAUAUAACGUUGUAUAUAAAAAAAAAUAUAUACAUAUAGCCUAUAAAUAUACAUACAAACCAUUGUUUCAACAGGCUACCAUGUGUGUGUUUUCCUGUCUAUUUAUAUAUACAUAUUAUUCUUAAUAUAUUUCACUGGCAUUUUACCUAACGUACUAAAAGCGGUGAGCCGGGUUGCUUAGCAACCGGUAUAGGGGGUCCUAGAGAAACUGCCGCGCAAAUGUUGCAUUAUACAAUCGUUCAGGUUUCAUCACCAGCCAGUGUCCUACUCUCCUCUGUCUAAAAGAAGUCGACUAUCCUGCCAGAAAUAGACAUGAAUACACUAAAGAAUGGCCUUUUAUUAAAACAAGUAAAAUCUCUGACUCGCAUGCCUACUGUGAAUAUUGCCGGACUGACUUCUCGGUGAAACACGGUGGACACCACGAUUGCAUCGUUCAUGUAGGUACAAAAACAUCACCAAUUUGCAAAAUCUAUUGGAAAUCAUAAAUCUAUGCGUGAAUUUGUAGUGAGUACAGGCGAAGGUAAUGCAGUGAUAAAGGCAGAAACACUUUUUGCAAACUUUAUUGUUGAGCACAAUCUUCCAAUUGCUGUUUCGGAUCAUAUCGGUCCACUUUGCAAAGCUGCAUUUCCAGACUCAAACAUCGCCAGCAAGUACGGAUCAGGCCGCUCAAAAACCACUGCCAUAAUUGAAACCCAUUAGCCUCGGAAUUAUCGCUGGGUUAUUUUUGAUUGAGCACGGACGGCAGCAGUGACACAACAACCAGUCAACUGUACCCAGUUGUAAUGAGAUAUUAUAACGGGUCGCUUGUAAAAAUUGUCACGAAAUUACUUUCGCUACCAGCAAUGCAAGAAGUUUUGAGUACUGGAGAGAACAUAUUUAAUUUACUCAACAGAAAUUUGAAGAAAUUUUAACAUCCCAUGGCAACGAUGUUUGAGCUUCUGUUGUGAUAAUGCCUCUUAUGGUUGGAGUUCACGGGGGUGUUGCAGCAUUUGUGCAUAAGGAAAAUGAAAAUGUAUAUGUACAGGGAUGUCCAUGCCACUUGGUGCACCUUGCAGACCAGUAUGCAGCUGCAAAACUAUCACUAUCAGUGGAAGAUCUGUUGAUUUGACUUGUGUUAUUAUUUUGACAAAAGCAGCAAGAGAAAUAAAAACUAAAACAGUUACAGCAGCUCUGACAUCGAAACCAGAGGAAUCAUCAAGCAUAUAAAUACAAGGUGGUUGAGUGUUGGCAAAUGUCUUGAUAGGCUAUUGGAACAGUGGCCUGCUCUACUAAAGUUCUUCACAAGCAAAGAGAGUCCUUCAUCUUCUGUCACUAAAGGCUCCAGUGGGGCACACCCUGGCGGACCAGCAUAGCCUCAUUGUGACAGACCACAUGGAAGAGCACAGUCUAGCAGUGCACAACAGCCUACUGUAACAGCACAGCUUAAACAGUCAGGUUCAUAAGAAACCUGGUCCCAAGCAGAUGCCUUCUAUAAGUGGGAAGUUGGUUCACACUUCAAUACCUACAAAGCAAAAAGUUUGUAGGAAAGAGUCUUCAGCCAAAGCCCAAGAAGGACACUGUCAGAAGCUGAAGAGGCCUAGUUCAGAGUCACAGAAGAAAUCCCUCUCCACAUCUGGAAAAACCAAACCAAGAGAGAGCAUGCCAUUAUCAACUAAACAGGAUAGGAUCAAGUCUUGCUUUGAGAGGGCAUCACAAAGUUGUAUUGCUUAUUUCUGCAAACAAGUGUUCCAGCAUUUGAUAAACUCAAUCUCCUGUUGCAAAGUGACAAGCCUAAUAUCCAUGUCCUUGGCAGGGAAUUACAAGCCCUUUUAUACAGAUCUUCUCUGCAAGUAUUUUUACGCCAGCUAUAUUGGUAGCAGCCUCCAGUGUGUACACAUUAGAUUUUAGAAGUCUCAACAACCAGAAAUCUGAUAAUGACCUGGUGAUUGGUACAAAGACCAGACAAUAUCUGUGUGCCUGCAUUGCUGAUAAAUCACUGCAACAUGAAGGUGUGAAGCUCUUCUACUCUUCUGUAAAGGCAUACUUUUCAGAGGCAUGCACAUACAUGCAGAAGAAAUUUCCUCUUCAGGAUGAACUGCAUAGGAAUGCCCAAAUGGCAGACAUCAGUCAGCGGGAGAAGGUGUCAUUUGACUGUCAGUUAUUUUGUGGACAGAUCUGGGCUGGUCAAAGAAGAUGAAAUGGAUGAACUGGAGUCCCAGUUUGAAAGAUAACAAAUUUUCAGUUUUUUCAGAGGACAUUUUGUCAGAAGACAGGGCUGAUGUAGCAUGGAAUAUGAUUGGGCAAUUCAUUGUAAAAAAUUGUACAACACAGAAAUCCAGUUUCAGUGUGCUGGUGAAGGUCAUGCUUUCGGACAAAUUGAUCUGAUAGGACCCUGGAGGCGCUGCUUGUCCAGAAGCUCCACAUCCUCGCACCUGACAGUGUGUGCUACAAGGUGGUGUUUGGCUGUGUUCUGCUUAAAAAAUGCAAACAAGCUACCAAUAAAAAAAAAUAAGUGGUAAUGAUACAAAUUGUACCAAUGUUUGUGUAGACCAAUGCAAAAAAUUAAUGUCUGUUUUAUGGAAAAGUAUUUGAAAUGCAUUUGGUAUACUCAAUUGCGUUUCAAUACUUUUCCAUACAACAGACAUUAAUUAAAUUGAAAUCCAAAGUACUUGUAGUUCAGAAUACAAAUCAUGUGAAAUGCAAAUAAUUCAAAAUAAAUACAAAUUGUUAAAUCUUUCUCGAGCUGUUAUUUUUGAUUAAGUUUGGAGGUUGAAUAUUUCAGUCCAGAUUUGAUUCUUCCUCUGGAUUUCAUUUUAAUUUGAAGGUGCUAGCAGCACCUGAUCAUGGGGGGAAAAAAAAAAUAGCGCCUCGCUACGCUCACCAGGUAAUUUUUUUACUGGUCAGGUGCUACUAUUUUCCACUUUCAGAACUUGGCAUCUCUGGGCUAGGAUUCAUUCGCUCUGUAAUGUUUAUACAGUUGCAAAAUGCAUAGGUUUACGAACAACGUUCCUUAGCCUUUUUGCAUUAGCACUGCACACGUGGGUGACGUUGCUGAAGAGCUUGAUCAUCGCAGAUUAACGGUUAGGGCGGAUAUGUGAUGGGCGGAUUACUGUGUAGGGGUCCCAUAAGAACCCCAGACUAAUGCUAUGUGCU